rnacentral:rRNA from 1 species
UAACACAUGAUCAACUUACCCUAUUGAGAAAGAUAACCUCGGGAAACUGAGGAUAAUAUUUCAUAGUUGAAUUGGCUUGGAAAAGUUUUUCAACAAAAGGGAUAGGGAAAAUGGUCUCUAUCCGCUAUAGGAUAGGAUCGUGUUCGAUUAUGGUAGUUGGUGAGGUAAAGGCUCACCAAGCCGAUAAUCGAUAGGGGCCGUGAGAGCGGGAGCCCCGAGAUGGGUACUGAGACAACGACCCAGGCCUUACGAGGCGCAGCAGGUACGAAACCUCCACAAUACACGAAAGUGUGAUGGGGUUACCCAAAGUGUUCAUUAUUGAACUGUGGUAGGAGAGUAAUGUCCCCUACUAGAAAGGAGAGGGCAAGGCUGGUGCCAGCCGCCGCGGUAAAACCAGCUCUUCAAGUGGUCGGGAUAAUUAUUGGGCUUAAAGUGUCCGUAGCCGGUUUAGUAAGUUCCUGGUAAAAUCGGGUAGCUUAACUAUCUGUAUGCUAGGAAUACUACUAUACUAGAGGGCGGGAGAGGUCUGAGGUACUAC